rnacentral:tRNA from 1 species
UCCGAUAUGGUGUAAUGGCUAGCACAGUUCGCUCUCACCCAGCAGAUCGGGGUUCGAUUCCCCGUAUCGGAG